CACAUAGGGCUGUGAUCUUAUUUCCACUCCUGACCAAGACCACACUGACUUUACCAAGUGUCUUCAAGUGCUCCAAAGGAAGAUAGAAGAAAAAGAGCUGCAGGUUGACGUGAUCGUGACCCUGGGAGGUCUCGGUGGGCGUUUUGACCAGAUCAUGGCAUCUGUGAAUACUCUUUUCCAAGCCACUGACAUCAUUCCUGUGCCAAUUAUAAUAAUCCAAAAGGAAUCUCUCAUCUACCUCCUCCAACCAGGAAAGCACAGACUCCGUGUAGACACUGGAAUGGAAGGCAGCUGGUGUGGCCUUAUUCCUGUUGGACAGCCUUGCAACCAUGUGACGACAACAGGCCUGAAAUGGAACCUCACAAAUGAUGUGCUCGGCUUUGGAACCCUGGUCAGUACUUCCAACACCUACGAUGGGUCCGGCCUUGUCACUGUGGAAACUGACCAUCCGCUCCUCUGGACCAUGGCCAUCAAGACCUAACCCACAGUGUAGCAUCCAUCUUGUGCCUGUGCCUUCCCGGACCUGCCCACUGGUUCAUUGGUCAACAUGAACAAUCACAUAGGUGUGCAGAAGUCUAACCGUCUUCGUAGGGAGCCAUGAGCUUUCAAGGGGUGAAGGCAUAGCUGAGCAGCAGAGCACUUGUGCAUGCACAAGGCCUUGGGUUCAACCCUCACACCAUGAACUAGAGAUGUUAGGGUUUAAAGAUUCCAAGUUAUGCUAUAAAUGAUAUCUCAAUGCUAUAUUGAGGGAAAAAUUAUGUUCGAUCAAAGCAAAUAAGUUUUAUCAUACUCUAUUGAGAAAGCUAACGUGGAUCAGUUACAUUAUGUAAUUCAGUUUUGAUCAUUUUAAUUUAAUUAAUCAGCCCAUUUACCUUUUUUUUUUUAUUUUGAAGCACCAGAAGCUGUUUUCUGUUGCCUUGGAGUCUGGCACUUCCUUCAGUGCCUGACAACCAGGGCUGCCUCCUCCUGAGUGUCUCCUAACACGGACUCCACUCUGUAAUGCACAUUAUCUCCUGGGACGCUGAGAUAGAAUGGUAUCAGUUCAUUUUGACCUCAUCUUUUAAAAGAUAAAAAUAAUUGAUGUAAUUGUUAGGUUUGAGCUUUAGAGAUGCAGGCAUCCUAAUGAAAAUUGUGACACAUCCAAAAGCUUUGUGCUGAGCAAUAGAUCAUAAGCCUGAAAAUUCAGCCACUUUUAACGUAUUUCACACUAGAGGAUGCAGAGAUGGCUCAGUGGUUAGGGGCACUGAUUGCUCUUCCAGAGAUCCUGAUUUCAGUUCCCAGCAACCACAUGGGGGCUCACAACCAUCUGUAAUGAGAUCCGAUGCCCUCUUCUGGCAACAGGUGUACAUACAGAUAGAGUACUCAGACAUAAAAAUAAAUAAAUCUUGGGGGAAAACAUACUUCACAUUAAAAAACAAAAUAUUAAUCCAUGGACCAUAUUUUCUGACAUCACCAGAAAAUUAGUGUGCUAUGGAGAUAAUGAACCUGCCAAGGAAUUGACGCCUGAAGCCUGUUUCUGCAUCCCAGUCCACUGCGUGCCUGCUUCCUGAACCCCUUCUCUCUGCUGUGUGCUGGGAAGGGUUGUGGUCACUGAGUGUGAGGAAGAAGCACAUGUAUAAACUCUAACUGCUAACCUGUUGCAGGUGUAGAGCGGAUAAUGCAGUUCCUGACCUAGCCUAAGCUUGCGGUGCAUUCAGAUUUAUUCAGGUUUCUCUCAUGAGCGCCCCUACUCAUCUUCCCACCCUCUCCUAUCCCAUUUGUUAAACUGCAUCUUGCCAAACAAACCAUGAUUUAAGGCAACCUGUGUACCAUGUUUCAUUUAUCCAAUGACUGUGUUACUGUCUACUUGGUGCUACAACAGUAUGAAGCUUAAAACAUAAAUGGAGGAAGAAAAGGGAUCAGUUGAACCAAUACCAAGUUCUUAACAGAAAUAGUUAGAAUGAUUGUUAUCAUUUUAUGCAAAUAUAUGAUUCCGAAAUCUGAAUGUCAAAUAAAAAGUUAUCCAUGUGGAUGUCUGUAGUGGGUUUCUCAGAGAAUGUUUAAUGUUAUCCCUUGUACUUCAAUAUGACUAAUCUCUCAUAAUCGGUGUUUCUGUUAAGAUGUGUAAUACAUAAUUAAAGUCUCAGAUUGGAUGUC
rnacentral:lncRNA from 1 species